AUUGAACGCUGGCGGCAGGCCUAACACAUGCAAGUCGAGCGGUUGAAGGGAGCUUGCUCCCUGAUUCAGCGGCGGACGGGUGAGUAAUGCCUAGGAAUCUGCCUAUUAGUGGGGGACAACGUUUCGAAAGGAACGCUAAUACCGCAUACGUCCUACGGGAGAAAGCAGGGGACCUUCGGGCCUUGCGCUAAUAGAUGAGCCUAGGUCGGAUUAGCUUGUUGGUGAGGUAAUGGCUCACCAAGGCGACGAUACGUAACUGGUCUGAGAGGAUGAUCAGUCACACUGGAACUGAGACACGGUCCAGACUCCUACGGGAGGCAGCAGUGGGGAAUAUUGGACAAUGGGCGAAAGCCUGAUCCAGCCAAGCCGCGUGUGUGAAGAAGGUCUUCGGAUUGUAAAGCACUUUAAGUUGGGAGGAAGGGUUGUAGAUUAAUACUCUGCAAUUUUGACGUUACCGACAGAAUAAGCACCGGCUAACUCUGUGCCAGCCGCCGCAGUAA
rnacentral:rRNA from 1 species